rnacentral:rRNA from 1 species
GGAUUGCCCUAGUAACGGCGAGUGAAGCGGCAACAGCUCAAAUUUGAAAUCUGGCCCCCUCGGGGUUCGAGUUGUAAUUUGUAGAGGAUGCUUCGGCGUCGGCCCCGGGCUAAGUCCCCUGGAACGAGGCGCCCUAGAGGGUGAGAGCCCCGUACUCACUCGGGUGCCCUUCGCCAUGUGAAGCUCCUUCGACGAGUCGAGUUGUUUGGGAAUGCAGCUCUAAGCGGGAGGUAUAUUUCUUCUAAAGCUAAAUACCGGCCAGAGACCGAUAGCGCACAAGUAGAGUGAUCGAAAGAUGAAAAGCACUUUGGAAAGAGAGUUAAAAAGCACGUGAAAUUGUUGAAAGGGAAGCUCUUGCCGCCAGACUUGCCGCGGUUGCUCAGCCGCCCCCCGGGGCGGUGUACUCUUCCGUCGGCAGGCCAGCGUCGGUUCGGGCGACCGGAUAAAGGCCCUGGGAAUGUAGCACCCUCCGGGGUGUGUUAUAGCCCGGGGUGCAAUGCGGUCAGCCCGGUCCGAGGCACGCGUUCGCGAGGACGCUGGCGUAAUGGCUGCAAGCGACCCGUCUUGAAACACGGACCAAGGAGUCUAACAUCUGUGCGAGUGUUUGGGUCUCAAACUCAUGCGCGUAAUGAAAGUGAACGGAGGUGGGAACCCCCUCGAGGGGCGCACCAUCGACCGAUCCUGAUGUCUUCGGAUGGAUUUGAGUAAGAGCAUAGCUGUUGGGACCCGAAAGAUGGUGAACUAUUCCCGGAUAGGGUGAAGCCAGAGGAAACUCUGGUGGAGGCUCGUAGCGGUUCUGACGUGCAAAUCGAUCGUCAAAUCUAGGAAUAGGGGCGAAAGACUAAUCGAACCAU